rnacentral:rRNA from 1 species
UACAGAGGGUGCAAGCGUUGUUCGGAAUUACUGGGCGUAAAGCGUGCGUAGUCGGUAUUGAGAGUCGCGGGUGAAAUCCCAGGGCUUAACCCUGGAACUGCCUGCGAGACCGUCAGUACUAGAGUGUGAGAGGGGAUAGUGGAAGUACCCAGUGUAGCGGUGAAAUGCGUAGAGAUUGGGUAGAACACCGGUGGCGAAGGCGGCUAUCUGGCUCACAACUGACGAUCAGGCACGGAAAGCGAUGGGGAGCAAACAGG